rnacentral:ncRNA from 2 species
GUUCAUCUUCAAGGCAGGGUGGAAUUCCCGACCGGCGGUAACAGUCCGCGACCCACGCUCCCGUGGUUGAUUCGGUGCAACUCCGAGACCGACAGUACAGUCUGGUAUGCAGAAGAUGAGA